GACCUACGGGGGGCAGCAGUGGGGAAUAUUGCACAAUGGGCGCAAGCCUGAUGCAGCCAUGCCGCGUGUAUGAAGAAGGCCUUCGGGUUGUAAAGUACUUUCAGCGGGGAGGAAGGUGUUGCGGUUAAUAACCGCAGCAAUUGACGUUACCCGCAGAAGAAGCACCGGCUAACUCCGUGCCAGCAGCCGCGGUAAUACGGAGGGUGCAAGCGUUAAUCGGAAUUACUGGGCGUAAAGCGCACGCAGGCGGUCUGUCAAGUCGGAUGUGAAAUCCCCGGGCUCAACCUGGGAACUGCAUUCGAAACUGGCAGGCUAGAGUCUUGUAGAGUGGGGUAGAAUUCCAGGUGUAGCGGUGAAAUGCGUAGAGAUCUGGAGGAAUACCGGUGGCGAAGGCGGCCCCCUGGACAAAGACUGACGCUCAGGUGCGAAAGCGUGGGGAGCAAACAGGAUUAGAUACCCUAGUAGUCA
rnacentral:rRNA from 1 species